UGGGUGUCAAUGGAGGCAGAGCGCGAAACCUGGACUUCUACCUAGCAGUACUGAGGCAGCAUCCCUCCCUUUUGCUCUUGGAACAGUGUCAGAGAAAACCAGCUAAAACAGAUGGCUUAAAUAAUAUCCACAGUCUCACUUAUCAUAGCAAGAACCAGGAAGAUCUCAAACUGAAUGAAAAGAUAAUCAGUAGAUGCUAACACUGAGGUGAGAAGGAUGUCAGAGUUACCUAACAAAGACUUUAAAACAGCCAUCAUAAAGACCCCUUAACAGGCAAUUAUGAGCCUCUUGAAACAAACUGAAAAAUACAAAGCUGCAGUAAAGAAAUGGAACAUCUCAACAAAGAAACUGGAGAUAUAAAGAACCAAAUGGAAACUUUAGAACUGAAAAAUACAAUAAUUGAAAUAAAAAACUUAGUGGAUGGUCUCAACAGCAAAAUGAAGAAUCAGUGAGCUUGAAGACAGAACAAUACAUGUUAUUCACUCUGAACAAUGGAGAGAAAAUAGACUACCCAAAACAGAACAGAGCCUCAGGGAACUGCGGGACUAUAAGAUCUCAUAUGUGUGUCAUCAGAGGCCUGGAAAGAGAGUAAAAAGAAGGGAGGGCUGAAAAAGUACUUGAAAUAAUGGCUGAAAAUGUUCCAAAUUUGGCAAAGGUCAUAAACCUACAGAUUCAAGAAGCUGAACACACCUAAAAGAGAUAAACUCAAAGAAAUCCACAUCAAGACACAUCAUUGUUAAACUUCUGAAAUCUAAACACAAAGAAAAAAAAUCUUGAAAGUAGUGAGAUAAAAGUGACAUCUUACCUAUAAGGGAAAACCUAUUUGAAUGACACAGUAUAUUUCUCAUCAGAAACCAUGGAGACCAGAAGGAAGUGACUCAACAUUUUUCGAGUGCUAAAAGAAAAGUACUGUCAACCCAGAUUCCUUUAUCCAGGGAAACCAGCCUUCAAUAAUGAAGAGGAAAUCAAGACAUUCUCACACGAAGGAAAACUAAGAGAAUUUGUCGCCAGCGGACCUACCUAAAAGAAGGGCAGAAGGAAGUUCUCUAAACAGAAAGGAACCAAUAAAAGAAGGAAUUGUGGAACAUCAGGAAGAAAGAACACAGACACAGAGAGAAGCUGAUCACCUGCGAGCCAGGAAGAGAGCUCCCACUAGGAAUCGGCUGGCACUCUGAUCUUGGACUUCUCAGCCUCCAGAACUGUGGGAAAAUAAAUUUCUGCUGUUGAAGCCACACUGUCAGUGGUAUUUUGUUAUGGGAGCCCAGGCAGACUCAUACAAUGGUUGAAGUAAAAAUUAUAACACUUUGGGGGCUGGCCCCGUGGCCAAGUGGUUAAGUUCGUGCGCUCCGCUGCAGGCUGCCCAGUGUUUUGUCGGUUCGAAUCCUGGGCGCAGAAAUGGCAUUGCUCAUCGGGCCAUGCUGAGGGAGCAUCCCACAUGCCACGACUGGAAGGACUCACAACUAAGAAUAUACAACUAUGUACCCGAGGGCUUUGGGGAGAAAAAGGA
rnacentral:lncRNA from 1 species